rnacentral:rRNA from 1 species
AUUGAACGCUGGCGGCAGGCCUAACACAUGCAAGUCGAGCGAGCGGCGGACGGGGGAGUAAUGUAUGGGGACUGCCCGAUAGAGGGGGAUAACUACUGGAAACGGUAGCUAAUACCGCAUACUAUCGGAUAACCCAUAUGGGAUUAUCUAGUAGGUUAGGUAAUGGCUCACCUAGGCGACGCUCCCUAGCUGGUCUGAGAGGAUGUGCAGCAACACUGGGACAGAGACACGGCCCAGACUCCUACGGAGGCAGCAUGGGGGAAUAUGGCACGAUGGGCGCAAGCCUGAUGCAGCCAUGCCGCGUGUAGGACGAAGGCCCUAGGGUUGUAAAGUACUUUCAGUCGGGAGGCGUUACCGACAGAAGAAGCACCGGCUAACUCCGUGCCAGCAGCCGCGGUAAUAC